GACGAACGCUGGCGGCGUGCUUAACACAUGCAAGUCGAACGGAAAGGCCCCGCUUUUGUGGGGUGCUCGAGUGGCGAACGGGUGAGUAACACGUGAUUAACCUGCCCUUGACUUUGGGAUAACUUCAGGAAACUGGGGCUAAUACCGGAUAGGAGCUCCUGCUGCAUGGUGGGGGUUGGAAAGUUUCGGCGGUUGGGGAUGGACUCGCGGCUUAUCAGCUUGUUGGUGGGGUAGUGGCUUACCAAGGCUUUGACGGGUAGCCGGCCUGAGAGGGUGACCGGCCACAUUGGGACUGAGAUACGGCCCAGACUCCUACGGGAGGCAGCAGUGGGGAAUAUUGCACAAUGGGCGGAAGCCUGAUGCAGCAACGCCGCGUGCGGGAUGACGGCCUUCGGGUUGUAAACCGCUUUCGCCUGUGACGAAGCGUGAGUGACGGUAAUGGGUAAAGAAGCACCGGCUAACUACGUG
rnacentral:rRNA from 1 species